rnacentral:rRNA from 1 species
UAGGGAAUCUUCCACAAUGGACGAAAGCCUGAUGGAGCAACGCCGCGUGUGUGAUGAAGGCUUUCGGGUCGUAAAGCACUGUUGUAUGGGAAGAACAGCUAGAAUAGGAAAUGAUUUUAGUUUGACGGUACCAUACCAGAAAGGGACGGCUAAAUACGUGCCAG